rnacentral:rRNA from 1 species
UACGGAGGAUGCGAGCGUUAUCCGGAUUUAUUGGGUUUAAAGGGUGCGUAGGCGGCAUUAUAAGUUAGUGGUAAAAUAUUGGGGCUUCACCUCACUACGCCAUUAAUACUGUAAGACUCGAGUUCAGACGAGGUAGGCGGAAUAAGUUAAGUAGCGGUGAAAUGCUUAGAUAUAACUUAGAACUCCGAUAGCGAAGGCAGCUUACCAGACUGCGACUGACGCUGAAGCACGAGAGCGUGGGUAGCGAACAGG